CGGGGGGCAGCAGUGAGGAAUAUUGGUCAAUGGAGGCAACUCUGAACCAGCCAUGCCGCGUGAAGGAUGAAGGUCCUCUGGAUUGUAAACUUCUUUUAUAGAAGAAGAAACCCCAUUUUUCUAAGUGGGUUGACGGUACUCUAUGAAUAAGCACCGGCUAACUCCGUGCCAGCAGCCGCGGUAAUACGGAGGGUGCAAGCGUUAUCCGGAUUCACUGGGUUUAAAGGGAGCGUAGGUGGGCUUGUAAGUCAGUGGUGAAAUCUCCGAGCUUAACUUGGAAACUGCCAUUGAUACUACUCGUCUUGAAUUCUGUGGAGGUAAGCGGAAUAUAUCAUGUAGCGGUGAAAUGCUUAGAUAUGAUAUAGAACACCGAUAGCGAAGGCAGCUUACUACGCAGAUAUUGACACUGAGGCUCGAAAGCGUGGGGAUCAAACAGGAUUAGAUACCCGAGU
rnacentral:rRNA from 1 species